UAUGAUUCUUUUCAGUUCUUU
rnacentral:piRNA from 1 species